UCCGAUAUGGUCUAGUGGCUAGGAUUUGCCGCUCUCAUUACGAGAGUCAGUUACACUGUCAUUUUCAAGUGCCGGCAAGGCCCGGGUUCGAUUCCCGGUGUCGGAA